UACUCAUUAUCUUGAUAUUCUUCCAAAGAACUCGAUUUUGCAUGUUGAAAUUCAAGAAAAUUUCAAGAAUUUGUUGGCUUUUUCAAGAAAAUUCAAGUAAACUUUUUUUUAAAAGCAAAUUAGGUUGUCAUCCUGUCAAUGCAUGUUAAGGAUGUUCAAGAACUUGUUUGGCCCUAAUUUCCCCUGCUUCCUCUUGGAAAAUUGGAAUUGAAAAAAGACGUGAAGUUGUUCUUGAAGGCCUACUGCGCAACUAUAUAAAAAAAAAGUAGUUUAAUUAUAAGUAAGUUUGUGAUUUGUAGUAUUUUGAAUGAAGACACUCAAUUGUAGACUUAAAAUCCCCUCACCGCCCCUUUCUUUUACAUGGUCUAGACUUUUUGACUUUUGAUUAUUUCUAAACACCGGAAAACUGUAGCCUAACUUUGAUUUGUAGUAUUUUAAAUGAGUACCUUUUUAUGUAUCCUUUUAGUCAGAAGGUUGAAUCAACUUACCUCCUUCAGGACUGAGUUAGUAUCUUUUCUAUUCUUUGGUGUAAAUAAAUUCAUUUGAACAUUUAACACCUACGCUAAUGUUUCAAAAGUUUUACGAAAUACCAUUAAUUAGAAUGAGGGGAUAAAGGAAAAGCUAGAAUAGGCUCUGAGGAAGUGACAAAAGUGGAGGAAGUGGGAGCACAUGUAACCAGAGGACUGCAUCUGGUUUCUCUUAGUUUUCGACUGCAGACAGUGGACUAGAUCAAACUUGAGAACUGUUGCACUUUUAGGAUUACUGAAUUUUGUUUCAAUUGAUUACAUUGUGUGAUUCUGUAGACAUUCUGCUAGAUCUGAAUAGGAAGCUAUUUACUCCAAUGACAUGCUAUUUGUUAAAAGUGCUGGUCAUCACCUGCCGCUACUUUGUUGUACCAUAUCUACAUAUUUCUUUGCUGGAAUUGUUACCAAAUCUCAUCGGAGGCCUAAUAGAUAUUGUAAGGUUUUGAAGGUAAAAUUCUUUUGAGUUAUAGUAAGUAGUCGACAUUAGGAUUGGUUUGACUAAUCGCCACAAAAAAAGAAAAACAUGUCACUUGUUCAUUUUUGUUCCAUGGUAGAUAUGCAAUCGAUUCAGCAGAGAUUAUGUGCAGUAUUUAACUCUCAUUGUUGGCACCACUGAUACCGAUUGUGUUAAUCUGAUGAAGCUAUUUUGAUGUGUUUUUCAAGAAUAUCUUGUGGUAACUAGUUGUUUCUGAGCUCUAUUUCUGAUAUUUCUUUUCUGGAAUUGUUACCAAAUCUCAUGGGAGGCCUAAUAGAUAUUGUAAGGUUUUGAAGGUAAAAUUCUUUUGAGUUAUAGUAAGUAGUUGACACUAGGAUAGGUAUAGAACUACUAACCUGGUCCUUGAAGUCUUAUCUGGCCAUUGUUAACUGGAUGGCAAGUGUUUUGUAAACUUGGAAUUGAUGAUUAUAGACGAGAUGUUGGUAUAGCAGGUGAUUUUGUAUAAGCCUACUUGAUAAUUGAGUUAACUGCUGCCUGCUAAUAAAGGAAAUUUCUAGGGUUUCUCUUUUGCAGUAAUUGUUCGUGAUGUAUUUUACAACUUAGAAGUUCAAAGGAAGCAAAUGCAUUCCAAGUUCUUCUAGUUUUCUCAAAAUCAAACAAGUAAAAAAUAUUGCUUUACAUACUUUACUUCUAAACUGUACUCUGAUCUGAUUGAUUUUUUGGUCUGCAUAUAUAAUCUUGAAAUCCAAGUAGGGUCUUGCAUUCUCCGAAAGAGUCUCUGCUAAGAAUCUCCCUUGCGCAUCGCAGUGUCUCCUUCAAAAUUGUUGACAUUGGAAGUGAGGAUGACCUGCUUUGCACAUGUGCUUCUCCUUCUCCUUGCCGCUGUUGUCUAGUGGGUUUGGAAUUCAUCUGAGUUUCCUUAACAAAUUGAAUAUUUGGCAAUCGGAGCUUUGCAGAUGAGAGGCACCGUCAUAUAUAUGAGGUGGAUCCUGAUAUGGUGCAGCAAUUUGAAGAUGCUGGCCUUUCUUUCACUAGCAAAGAUUAAAGUGAUAGUCACAUAGAGGUAUCUGUUGCUAUAGACAUUGGGUCCUGAAUUGUUUAAGGAUCUGGUGUCUCACGAGAUGGACAGAUGCUGAGGAGAGAAUGAUGUGGUAUUCAUUUUGCAAAAUAUUGGACUGACAACAUUAUGUUCGUAACUUGGAAUGGUUGUCGUAGUCUAUAGGGCUGCAUGCGUUCCUCAACUGAUAGGUUGUUUGACAGUUUGUGUUUGUUAGUAUCUUUUUACGGGUGUUCUUCUAUUUUUUUGUUUUGCAGUUUUACUUGUAAUUGGGCAAACUGGCAUGGCCGGUAUAGGGGACUGGAUCCAUGGGAUGUUUAUAGUUCAGGUCCUUCUUGAUUCUAUUAUGAUUGAGAUGAUUGAUUGAGAUGAUUUGACACAUGCUUUCUCUUGGUGAAGAGAAUCUUGAAAUUAGUUGCUACCACAAGCUAUGCUCCUCUAGGGUGGAUGGGGACUCGCAUAAAUGGAUUGACGCUGGAAAUCGAGGUAAAACAGAUGAGCUUGUAAGGAAGAAGAAGAGUAGAAGAAGUCAUUCAGCUCCUCCAUUUUACCAAGACAAGAAGAAGUUCUUUGCCACAAGUGAGUCUUCAAGAACGGCAGCAGGAAAUAACAUCUUUUAAACUGUUCAUGAUGUGCUCAUGCCAGAAUCUAGAGUUGUAAGGAGACUGCAUCAUUCUGCAGAAGCUAUCUGCGCGGAGAUUCCACUCAGUCUUCUCAUCAAUGUGCUCAAUCUUCCACCCAUAAUGUGGUAAAGGGUGUGUUCUAUGUUGAAAGGCCAAGGGUUAUAAUGAAAUUUGUUAACAUAUGGAAUAGAAAAUUACAAACUCAAGGGGAUUGCACAAGUACACGCGAUGGGGACUCAAAAGAAGGAUGGGAUGGGGACUCGCGUAAAUGGAUUCAUGCUGGAAAUCAAGGUAAAACAGAUGAGAUUAUAAUAAUGGGAAGAGUAGAAGAAGUCAUUUCAGCUCCUUGGGCAAGAAAUUCUUUGCCACAAGCUAGUCUUCAAGAACAGCAGCAGCAAAUAAAAGUAUCAAGACUGUUCGUUAUGUGCCACUCAUGCCAGAAACUAGAGCUGUAAGGAGACUGCAUCAUUCUGCAGAAGCUAUUUGCUUGGAGUUUCCACAGCAGUCAUACCAUCAAUGUGGUCAAUCCUCCACCCCAAGUUGUGGUGACGGUGUAUUCUCUGAUGAAAGGUCAUGUUAUCAACGUUCUUGGAAGAGUUAGUUCUAUUUCUGAUAUUAUCUCAAUCAAAUAUUUUAGUAACUCACACGACCUGGUGUUUCUAAUGAAACUAGUUAGCAUUUGGAAUAAUAAAGUACAAGCUUGAGGGAGUGCACAACUUCACACGAUGGGGAUUCGAAAGAAGAAUUUGAACCACAAAAGCUCGAAGUUUCUUAAUUGUGUGACAGAAUGGAGAGACUUCCGUCCAGAGAUUACAUAUGUGAUGCAGAGCAGAAUUUGAACAGAAAAUCUUAAGAACUGGACUUUUUUACCCUUUUCAGUAUGAGAUACUGUGCUCAAUGUCACUUCUGGCGUCUUGCAUUUUGUUGGUGAUUUAUUGGUUCCUGAUACCAUUGAAAAAAACUGCCAAAGUUCUUCAACAGGUUGAUAAGAAGUUUAUUUCAAUUGUGGCGGGCACCACACUUCCUAUUAUUAAUCAGGGAUACAUUCAAAAAGUGCACCAUUUGCAAAUCAGUCUUUGAAAGAGAAAGUGCUAAUAUGCAAGAGGAGUUUCACGGGUACUAUUUCCAGUGCUUUUACAACCAACCAGUUUUAAGGAAACAAAUGCUCUCCAGUGAGGAUGACCUGUUUGCCUACGUGCUUCUCUUUCUCUGUUGCCACUAUUUUUCAGUGGGUUAGGGAUUCAUCUGAGUUCCCUUAAAAAUUGAAUGCAAGUGAUAGUUCAUUCAAGGCUCACGAUGUAUACACGGUGAAGGUAUGCAGGCCCAAAUUGAUGGAUAAGAGAUGUGAAGAGAAUCUUAAGAAUUAGUUGAUACCAUGACCUGUGCUCGGAUAGGGACUGACAUAAAUGGAUCGAUGCUGGAAAUUGAGGUAAAACGGAUGAGCUUAUAAGGAAGAAAGAGGGUAGAAGAAUUCAUUCAGUUCCUCCAUUUUACCAAGGUAAGAAUUAAGUUCUUUGCAAUGAGUGAGUCUACAAGAAAGGCAGCUGGAAAUCACAGUAUUAAGACUGUUCAUGAUGUGCCACUCAUGCUUGUUAGUAGACUGCAUCAUUCUGCAGAAGCUAUCUGCUGAGAGCUUCCACAGCAGUCAUCCCAUCAAUGUGAUCAAUCUUCAACCCCAAGUUGUGGUGACGGUUUCAUCUCUGAUGAAAGGCCAAGUGUGAAAAGGGAACUUAUUAACACCUGGAAUAGCAAAUUGCAAGCUCAAGGGGAGUGCACAUGUACACACGAUGGGGAGUUAAAAGAAGGAUGGGAUGGGGACUCGCAUAAAUGGAUUCAUGCUGGAAAUCAAGGUAAAACAGAUGAGAUUAUAAUGAUGGAGAAGAGUAGAAGAAGUCAUUUCAGCUCCUCGGGCAAGAAAUUCUUUGCCACAAGCUAGUCUUCAAGAACAGCAGCAGCAAAUAAAAGUAUCAAGACUGUUCGUUAUGUGCCACUCAUGCCAGAAACUAGAGCUGUAAGGAGACUGCAUCAUUUUGCAGAAGCUAUCUGCUUGGAGUUUCCACAGCAGUCAUUCCAUCAAUUUGGUAAAUCCUCCACCCCAAGUUGUGGUGACGGUGUAUUCUCUGAUGAAAGGUCAUGUUAUCAACGUUCUUGGAAGGGUUAGUUCUCUUUCUGAUAUUAUCUCAAUCAGAUAUUUUAGUAACCCACACGACCUGGUGUUUCUAAUGAAACUAGUUAGCAUUUGGAAUAAUAAAGUACAAGCUUGAGGGGAGUGCACAACUUCACACGAUGGGGAGUCGAAAGAAGAAUUUGAACCACAAAAGCUCGAAGUUUCUUAAUUGUGGGACAGAAUGGAGAGACUUCCGUCCAGAGAUUACAUAUGUGAUGCAGAGCAGAACUUGAACAGGAAUCUUAAGAACUGGACUUUUUUGCCCUUUUCAGUAUGAGAUACUGUGCUCAAUGUCACUUCUGGCGUCUUGCAUUUUGUUGGUGAUUCAUUGGUUCCUGAUACCAUUGAUAAAAACUGCCAAAGUUCUCCAACAGGUUGAUAAGAAGUUUAUUUCAAUUGUGGCGGGCACCACACUUCCUAUAAUUAAUCAGGGAUACAUUCAAAAAGUGCAAGUACAUGCGAACCAUUUGCAAAUCAGUCUUUGAAAGAGAAAGGAGAUUCAGAAAAAUCUUCAUUAACCAAGGUCAUGUUAGAUGAAGACGAUCAUCUUAUGGACCUCUUUAAACAGACUGAAAAUUAUGGUUCUGGACUGCCGUUUUGUGGUCCAGAACCAUCUCCUCUUUCACCAGAUACUUUGCUCGGGACAAAGUUUCAAGAUGUUAAUCCUUAACAUUGCUAAAGCCUGAAAAUGGCAAGGACAAGGACUACAGAUACAUGGCAUCUUCUUAUUUGGUAAAUAAGUUAAACAAAGAGGGAACAACUACAGAUUCAUGGCAUCUUCUUAUUUGCUAAAUGAGUUAAACAAAGAGGGGUUUUAACUUGAUAUUGAAACUUGAAGGGAAUUAUCCAGCUCAGUAUUGCUGCAGCUUGAUGAUGCAGCCGGUUAUAUUUAUGAAUUGGCUGUGAAAUGUUUCGACUUUUUCUGAUUUGUUGUUUCUUAUACUCUUGCUAUUCCUGUAUUUGGACUAGGAGCUUCUUAUUGACCCUACUAAAAUGGUUGUAGGUUUUUUUAUUUUAUAGAUCUUGUUUGAUGAAGAGGCUGUCGGAAGUUAGAACAGCUGAUACAGUUGGAUGUGGAGCAAAGGUUCUUUGUGGUAGCAGUGGGCUGGAGAAUAUUUCCCCUCUUACGGGUCAACAAUGACAAUGGAAAAGAAGGAAGUAACAAAAGAAGAAUUAGACGAGGCUCCCGCAAGAGCCUUGAGCUUGUGAUCUCAGCGGUCUAUUUCUUUCAUUUUUAUUUUUUUUUGUGAGUUCUUGUAUAUAAAGUAUUAUUAUCAAAUGUGCAAAGCUAGUUGGGAUUCCUUGUUCUUAAAGGAAGGCUUUUUGUAAACCCAGAAUUUUAAAUUCCAAGUUGAGUUUUUAUUCAAGUUCCAAAGUCUUCCUCUGGAUACCCGAUCCAAUCCAUAUUGACUUCCAGGAUCAUUCUUCAUGCAGUUCUGUUUUCAUUCUUAUUAGAGGUUCUAUUUGAAGGCACAGGAUUUGUACGGUGAACUACAGAUUCUAUCUUGUAAUGGUAGGUGCUAAUAUGCAAGAGGAGUUUCACGGGAACUAUUUCCAGUGCUUUUACAACCAAUCAGUUUUAAGGAAACAAAUGCUCUCCAGUGAGGAUGACCUGUUUUGUCUACGUGCUUCUCGUUCUCUGUUGCCACUAUUGUUCAGUGGGUUAGGGAUUCAUCUGAGUUCCCUUAAAAAUUGAAUGCAAGUGAUAGUUCAUUCAAGCUAUCACGAUGUAUACACGGUGAAGGUAUGCAGGCCCAAAUUGAUGGAUAAGAGAUGUGAAGAGAAUCUUAAGAAUUAGUUGAUACCAUGACCUAUGCUCUUCUCUAGGGUGGGUAGGGACUCACAUAAAUGGAUCGAUGCUGGAAAUCGAGGUAAAACGGAUGAGCUUAUAAGGAAGAAGGAGGGUAGAAGAAUUCAUUCAGUUCCUCCAUUUUACCAAGGUAAGAAUUAAGUUCUUUGCCACGAGUGAGUCUACAAGAAAGGCAGCAGGAAAUCACAGUAUUAAGACUGUUCAUGAUGUGCCACUCAUGCCUGUUAGUAGACUGCAUCAUUCUGCAGAAGCUAUCUGCUGAGAGCUUCCACAGCAGUCAUCCCAUCAAUGUGAUCAAUCUUCCACCCCAAGUUGUGGUGACGGUUUCUUCUCUGAUGAAAGGCCAAGUGUGAAAAGGGAACUUAUUAACAUCUGGAAUAGCAAAUUGCAAGCUCAAGGGGAGUGCACAUGUACACGCGAUGGGGAGUUAAAAGAAGAAUUUGCACCAACAAAAAUUCAAAGUUCCUUAGAUUUUUGGGAUAAAAUGGAGGGACUUCCAAAGAUUACAAACAGUGCUGGAACUGAGAAUUUUAAUAAUCAGUAUAUUGUACUGAGUGUCACUUCUGGCGUCUUGCAUUUUUUUGGCGAUUCAUUGGUUCCUGAUACCAUUAAUAAAAACUUCCCGGAGGGUGCCAAAGUUCUCCAACAGGUUGACAAUAAGUUUAUUCCGAUUGUGGCAAGCACAGUACUUGAUAUAACUGAUCAGGGGUCGGGUCGUUGGUUGGACUCAUUAGCAAAUAUAAAUCUCAGCAUACCCAAAUUUGAAUACCUAUUCAUAAUUUGCUUGAAAACUGCAGUUUGUGAUUAAGUUGCUUGAUUUUCUGAUGGCCAUUUUUGUAUGUUUUCUUGAAGAAAUUUGAGAGCUUAAUGCUACUAAAGAAGUACUAAUAGUUGUGUUAGGGAUAUAGAGAUGGGAUGCUAUUUAUGGAGGAAGAUCCCAACUUAUUUAUGUUUGUUUAUGAAGAAACCAAUGUACUUGUAAAAGAUAACAAACAAGAUUAUUUACUUGGAAGGCUAGGAACUGGACUACAUUCAAGCACAUGAAUGUUCAAACUGGAACAGUUGUGUUACAGAUUAAGAAGGAUAUCGUGGAAAGAUUAGAUCUAUUAUAAAUAGGGAGAAAAGGUCGCAGUUGUAGCAGUUUGAUUCAAAGGCUUAUUUGUAACUAGUUUCAGCACACGUACGUUGCACGUGUAUCCUAUGUUAAUUUUUUUUU